GAUGAACGCUGGCUACAGGCUUAACACAUGCAAGUCGAGGGGAAACGACGGGGAAGCUUGCUUCCCCGGGCGUCGACCGGCGCACGGGUGAGUAACGCGUAUCCAACCUGCCUCUGACUGAGGGAUAACCCGUCGAAAGUCGGCCUAAUACCUCAUGGCAUCGUCUGCGGGCAUCCAACGACGAUUAAAGAUUUCAUCGGUCAGUGAUGGGGAUGCGUCUGAUUAGCUUGUUGGCGGGGUAACGGCCCACCAAGGCGACGAUCAGUAGGGGUUCUGAGAGGAAGAUCCCCCACAUUGGAACUGAGGCACGGGCCAAUCGCCUACGGGACAGAGCAGUGAGGAAGACUGGUGAAGGGACGAUAGCCUGAAACAGCCAAGUAUCGUGCAGGAGGACGGCCCUAGGGAUUGUAAACUUCUUUUAGGCAAGGAUAAAGUGAGGGACGGGUCCUUCAGUGCAGGUACCGCAUGAAUAAGGACCGGCUAAUUCCGUG
rnacentral:rRNA from 1 species